rnacentral:rRNA from 1 species
UACGUAGGGGGCAAGCGUUGUCCGGAUUUAUUGGGCGUAAAGAGCGUGUAGGCGGCCAGACAGGUCCGUUGUGAAAACUGGAGGCUUAACCUUCAGACGUCGAUGGAAACCGUCUGGCUAGAGUCCGGAAGAGGAGAGUGGAAUUCCUGGUGUAGCGGUGAAAUGCGCAGAUAUCAGGAAGAACACCCGUGGCUAAGGCGGCUCUCUAGUACGGUACUGACGCUGAGACACGAAAGCGUGGGGAGCGAACAGG